UAUGUUUUUUUUUUCAAAAAAAUAUAUAAUAGGUAUACCUACCUAAAUAUUCUACGUGGUAAAAAUAAAAAACUAAAAGGCUCAUAAAAAUAUCAAAAUUUAAUCCAAUUCUGGUAGGAAGCUUUUCUUAUUACCCUACGAAUUACUUUCGACCUCUCGAGUGAUUUUUAAAUGCACAGCAAAUUUUUUGGGAUUUUGAAGUUCUAAAAAAGUCCCCCAUGAAAUUAUUAAUCAACCUCAUCCGCUCACUGUUAUCUACCCAGAAAUUUUAAUUCUUUUUACAAAUCAUUAUGAUAUUAACUCCAAUUAUUUUGAAUACAGGGUACCAGGUAAGGACUAACGAGGCAAACUCAUGCAUUACACAUUGUAUUGAAUAUUGAUGUACGUAAGUAUACAAAAGACCAUGUUGGCAAAAAGGCAAUGUUGCUGAAAGUCCUCUUCACCCCCCUCCCAUUGCACAAACUACAGAAAUACCAACGCUGCGGGGUGGGAGAAGUACCUCCCCGGCAUACCACCAGUUUCUCAUUUUGACUUUGACGUAUGUCUUUGUUUACUUUAUAGCUAGUUUAGUAUGUCUGUCUGUUGGAUUGUAGUAAGUUAAUGUAGGUAGUAGAUGGUCUUCUUUGUAUUUUUAAAAUCGGUUCGGAUUGAAUAUUGAACAAAAUCAAGAAUACGACAUGGCUGGAGCGGUAUCUUAUGAACUUGCUCCUGAUCCUUCUCGUGAAGGCCCAUUAUCGCUGCAAGAACUUUCGGCGAUCGCUAUUGGUGUACAUAUGUGGCGUUGUAAAGCAAACACAAGUACGAGUUGUAAUUCAAAAAAAUUUCAACCAUAUAGUAAACCCAAAUCAGUAAAUCCUAUGCUUGCAAAAACGCCACGAGUAAUUAACGAUAUAAUCAAACAAUACAGCGAAGAAUUUGAGUAUUCGAUGGAAUUUUGGCUAGAAGACCUUUUUGAAAAAGUAUUCAAGUUGCGUUACCGUCGUCAGAAUGAUAUUUUGAAUGACUUCAGUGAUUUCGUGAUCGAUCAUACGGGUGCCAUUCAUGAUAUUGAAACAGCCAAACGAAUAGUGCGUUGUGAUCGUUUGAGUGAAGAUGUGAAAUUCGUGAUUGCUUGUUUAUAUAAUUUCGCAGACGAUAUCGGACGAAUUGGGCUAUCUGUACGGUAUAACGCUAUCACUGAUGAAAUGGAGAACAGUGAGAUAGACGGUUUGUUACUGGUGAAGGUGCAGGUGAAGCUUUUAUUCGUCUUGGUUGAAAGCGGACGGCUAGAUCUAAUGAACUAAAUAAGAUUUUUUAAAAAGGUUCUCUGUAUUUACUGUGACUGAUACGAGCUUAUUUGAUUUUGUUUAUGUACUAUAAUUGAAAAAUUGUUUUGUAUUCCAUACUUAUAUGUAGUAAUAUACCCAUUAACUCUUA